rnacentral:rRNA from 1 species
UCUGGCUCAGGAUGAACGCUAGCGGCAGGCUUAACACAUGCAAGUCGAGGGGCAUCGGGAGUAGCAAUACUGCCGGCGACCGGCGCAAGGGUGCGUAACGCGUGAGCAACAUGCCCGUAUCAGGGGGAUAAUCCAUGGAAACGUGGUCUAAUACCCCAUAGUAAUUAUGUAAGGCAUCUUAUAUAAUUUAAAGCUUUGGUGGAUACGGAUUGGCUCGCGUGACAUUAGCUAGAUGGUAAGGUAACGGCUUACCAUGGCUACGAUGUCUAGGGGUUCUGAGAGGAAGGUCCCCCACACUGGAACUGAGACACGGUCCAGACUCCUACGGGAGGCAGCAGUGAGGAAUAUUGGACAAUGGAUGGAAAUCUGAUCCAGCCAUGCCGCGUGCCAGGAAGACGGCCCUAUGGGUUGUAAACUGCUUUUGUAUGGGAGCAAUAAGGGCUACGCGUAGUCCGAUGAGAGUACCAUACGAAUAAGCACCGGCUAACUCCGUGCCAGCCGCCGC